GCGCGUAACUUUGCAAACAGCAAGUAAAUCCCUUUAUCACGAGCUACAGAAUUGCAGCCUGUGGCUCCGGGCUAUGAACUUAUGGCAAUAACCACCAAGCCUCCAAAGCACGGUGGAGGUCAGUGCUGCUGUGUAGAAUCUGGGACAAGGUUCUGGUUUUGGGCUGAGUUUGGUAAUGGCUUGGGUACUGGUUUUGCUUGGCUGUUAAGACACAUAAAGAAGGACAGUCUUUAUUCCAUACCACUUGACAUUUCAUGGAUGGAAAUACACUGAACAGACACUCUAGGAGACAAUCCAAGUGCUGCAAACCUGGCACAGUGCUGGUGUGUCGGUGCAGGGGCAAGGCUGUUGCUUUCACAGAACCCUGCGCUGGCAGCUGCUCUGUUACCGCCCGUCUGGGCACCAGAGCAAGCAAAGACAGGGAGCAUCCCUGCUCAUUCCAGCCCUGCUCCAGCUGGCUACACAUCAGGAUCAAAGCUUUCAGCCCCACUGCACCUACAGCAGCCAGAGGAUGGGCUCUGCUUAACGUGGUGAGUGAACACAGCCUCUGCUGCCACAGGGACCAGCAAGAGCCGAGAGAGAUGCUGCUGCCAGGACCCCAGGGAGCUGUGGUGGGUGCUGGAUGGACACCAGCAGCUCUUCCACACCUCACUGUAACUGGUUUCAUUACUGGUGCACUCUUUGCUCACUCCACUGUGUGCCAGAGGCAAACACAUCAUUUAAAUUACAAACCUCCACAGCUGGGAUCACCUCCUCUAAUGGUUUCUCCUGGCUGCCUGGUUUCUCUGACCUUGCUCUUUACUAUCAACAGAUUCAAGUGUUUAAAGGGGAGAUGAAUAAAAUAACUUACCUUAAUUGUACCCUGACUGUUAGCAGCAAUCAGCACAUUGGACUCCUGGAAAAAAAAAAGAAGAGGCACUAUCACAACCUGCCAUUGCCUUUUUUUUUUUUUGGUCUUUUUUUUUUGGAAGAAGCAGCAGAGAAGAAGCAGUUAUUUUUAUCUUAAACAUUAGAAGUAUAUCUAAUUUCAAAGGGAUUUAACUCUUCCUAUUUUCAAGAUGCUUUUGAGGCUAAAAGUCUUUAUAAAAGUUAUACUACCUUGAAGAACUAGAAGGCAAUAAUCCUUAGUGCUUGUACAGAGCUUUAAAUCUCCAAAGCAAUUUACAAACAUGAAUUAAUCCUCGCAGCCUCCCUGUGAAGUGGGCUAAUAAUAAUAAUAGUUAUUUUCAUCUUUUGGCAGCACAUGGACAAAGGUCUCGAGCGCCCCAACUAAACCAGCUAAUCACCAUGACAAAACCCCUCUGGCUCCGAGGCCAAGGCAACCUCUCCCUCAUCCAAGAAGUUUCAGACAAAUAAAACAAAGAGGAGAAGAGAUUAGAGAGCAAUAGCAGAUGCACCCACUUUGGAAGGAAAGAUAAACAGACAGGGCUCCAGCCCCGCUUUAAGCAGAAGCAGCAUCUAUUUACCUCCUGCCAAUUGAUGGAGUUGCAUUUGGAGAUAUCUUGGUUAACUGCAAAUUAAUGGUCUGCUGCAUCAGUCAGGCAACCCCCAGCCAAAAAUUGGGGGGAGAGGCAGGCUCGCUCUGCUCUCCAGACCACAUUCCUCAUGUGACCGACCAGCAGUGCAGACGCACCAUCCCCACCCUAAAUCCCGCGGCCAGGGGGAAAUCCAAAGGGACGACACAGUGCCAACAAACCUAAAGCGCAUGAGCACUGGGGUGCUGGGAACAGCCCUGAAGGUGCUGAGGGAGAACCACUGCUCCCAGAUGGUGUCCUGCAGCCAUCCCUGCGCUGGCAGAUGCAGCGUACGCCACCAAAGCGCCCGCUGUGAACCGCUUUCUCUCAAGACAGCUCAUAUCUUCUCUCAGACACAUCGUAAAUUUCUCUUGCUGCUGCUCUCCAUCCCCAGACAAAGUUGCUGUAAUUAUCCCAUCGCUUAACACAUGCAUUUUUAAUAAAAUCAGUGACUAGAAUAUGCCCCUCUCCGAAGGGAGUGGGAAGGCAGCUCCACACAGCCCCAGCAGGGCCACGCACUGAGUCACAACUUUGCACAGCCUCCAGCCUCCAGGCAAAGGGAGAAAAAUCCCCUCCAGUGUAAAAACCCACUUAUCAGGGUCUGAGCUAAUCACCACUCUGCUGCUUUCAUCCACAACCAUGAGAUGCAAACAGGAGCAGACAGCAGCAAAAUUAGCACCAAAUCUGUCAUCGAACAAACAGUGACUUGCUUGUUAAGGCUUCUCCAGGAACACAGCUAAGUAACUUGUUUUUAAUCCUCCAAAGAAACAAUUCACUUCCGUUUGUGUCGCCUGUAAAACAGUCAAUAUACUCAACAUGUUAAACACCUAAGAGAGUCGUGAAGUUGUUUAGACCUGUAGGUUUGUAACUCAUGAUAUCUGUGAGCAUGUUAAACCAAUUUUUUUGCCAGGACAUGUAUGAAUGGAGUCACCGUGGCCUCAAAAGAAAACUGCCAUCACUGCUCAGCUGGAAGAAUGCCUAAUCCUAAACCACACUGUGAGCAUCUGUAUCUCUGAGGCAUGAAAACAGGGUCUCACCAGCCACUGUGGCUGCAUGUUCUACUCUAACAUAACCACUUGUUGUUUCUAUGCAGGGCAAGUAGGUUGAAAGACUGGCCUUCCUCACCCCUCCCAAAUAUGCUGCCUGCAGAAGCCAGCAAUUCCCAAUGCAGAGGCAAAGAGGAUGUGUAGAUCCAGCCCAGCUGAGUAGUCCUGCUCUGAAGAAAUCAGGUAUUGAAAUGACUCUUCUACACAUGAAUCUCCUCCUGUGAGUGGUUUGAACCUGUAGCCAUUCUUAACAGGAGAGGCAGAAGGAACCAGCUGCCUUUGCCAAGAUUGCAGAAGAAAAACGAACCAACACAACAAAAAUCAGGAGGGUUUAGUUUACUGCCUAGCAAGCAACAGCAUUGUGUUCUGUGUGGCUCCUAAUCUCAAGUAUUGUUGCACCCCAGUGGAAAGCCACUGACUGUGUCACCUGCUGAAAUGUGGAAACCUCUGCUCUGCACAUCACGGCAGAUAAGGAGCGACCGGGGGAGUCCCCCGUGACAAGAUAAUGCAGCACCUCAAGGAGCCAGCAAGAGCCAUAAAACUGAUGGGAGACAGUUGGAGAGUCCUGGUCCUGCUAAGGCAAUAGAAAAAAAGCUCUGGAGAUACCAAAAGGAUGCAUCUUCUUGUCUUUUGGCAUUACACAGGAAUUUAACAAUUUAAUUGGCAAAUGUUGGUGCCUCUCAGCACUCAUGUUAAGAUUAAUACAGGGUGCAGGUCCAGGACUGCUCUAACAUGCUACAGGGCUGAAGUUCUGUGCUACAACCUAUGAAAAACUUCCUACAUACACCAACUUUUUUCUCUACUGCAUUAUAAAAGUCUGAAGGGCAGUUCCUUGACACGGGAAGGACUUGACUCCACCACAGAUCUGUUACUGCACAGACUGGACACGUAUCCACCUGGAGGUAAGCAUUAGGUAAAAAAUAAAAUUAAAAAAAAAAAAAUCAGUCCCACGUACAAAGACAGACCAGACAGAAGCACCUCUGUCCUGAACCUGACAGAUCCCUGUUUCUUCUGAAUGAAUGUGACUGGUUCACCCACAGGAACUUUGGAGCAUUCGCCCUUAGGAUUUGAAGGGACUUUCACUGAUUGCACCAAAAAAAAAAAUUUCGUAGCACAUUCUGGAUGGCAAAGAAAAACAAAAUCUACUCAGGGCCUUCCUGAGUAGACGAGAUACCUGCUACAUUCAUCAUUUGGAAGAAUUAUUCACCUGGUGACAGCUGGAUUUUGAAGCACAUUGAUUUCCUUCCCUCCUAGAUGAGCCCUGUAUUUGGAUGGCCCUGGGGAAGCAAUUUGGGAAGGAAGGGAGGAGAAGGAAUGUCUAGCUGACUGCUGGUAUUCAUGCAAGAGAGGCCAACAUUAAGGCAAUCAGGAAUGCUCUGGAUGUUUUGGGAGGCUUGAGGAAACUCAGUUGAACAACUGGGAAGUUGUCGGAGCUGCUUCAGUGCGUCAGGGAGUAAAAGACAGCUGAGGUUGUAGCUCUUUCACUCCUUCUUUACAUCUUUGUGCAAGAAGCCAUUUGGUGGAGGAUGGACUAGAAUGCCACCCCAGAUGGACAGCUCUUAAAAGCCACAUACACAUCUCCGUGGAGAUAUCCAAGUGGACCAACUCUACGGAGCAAGGGAAAGCUCUGCACACACCCUUUAGCCAAGCUGUGGCCUGCAAGGCCUCCCAGUACCUGCACGGUUCAUCUCUAGCCCUCCCUCUUCACCAGUAAAUAUGCCUGGCUGCAGCCACAGUGCUCCAGGAGUUAUACAUCCCUCUCAGCGGUGGGCUCGUGCAAAAUCACAGCUGAGUAUUUUAGUCUUCCCUUCCUGACACCAAACAGCCUGUCCCUAAAGGGCUCGAAACAGGCAAGAUGAGAACAAAUCACUCACAAUUUUUUUUCCCCUUAAUAUAAUCCUUUACGAGACCAUUCCUCCUGUUAUCCCACACAUAUCAAUCCUUAAAGUAGAAUUCUGAAGUUCACACUGAAGGAAAAGCUGAGGAGAUUGUUCCUUAGGAUUAUAAAGAUGCUAAUGGUGAAGCAGGAUGUGUCUCCAAGUGCACUUUUUCAUGCAAUGGACUGGAAAGCUUAUUUGGGACUUUCAUCAUAUUAUAAAUAAUUACAGGCCAUAAAGUUCAUGCUUCUUUGUUACCCUCCUUUUUCUGCACAAAUAAAGGAGAUUCACCUCAAACUUCCAGCGCAGCCAACACUGAGGUAAGCGUGAGUUUUCUGGAUUUUCAGCUAGGUUUGUUCUAUAGAUUCACAGUUAGGAUUCUUAGAGAUCUUAUUUUAAAUUAACAACUUCUCACCUUCCCUCCCCAGCAGAUGUUUUGGCUAACAAAUGGCUGGUUUGUCAGCACUUCUCUUUCAAGCAGACAGACUCGCUGCCAGCAAACCCUGAACACUUACUCCAAGGAGCUGGAGCCUAAUUAAGCAAAGUUGUUUAUACCACAGGAAAACAACCUGGGUGAGAAAGCUUGUGUUCAAGUGGCCAUUGCCUUCCGUUAUUUAUAGGCAGAAUAGAAGUACACAGUUGAACUAAA